ensembl:lncRNA
CGCUAAAUAUAACCAGCCCCGGAGAGCGCCCUCCCAGAAGGGCUGGUGCUCAACUUCUAACAUAACUCAGAGAGCAGAGAGCGACCCGUACGCUAAACAAACUUUACGCGGGCUUCGAUUACUCGGAGUAUGGAGACCAGGGCCCGCCUCUCCAUCAAGAGACGGCCUCCCUCCCGGCGCAACAGGACGGCCAGCAGCGGGGAGGAAGGGGGCGUGUCCCCCAGCACGGAGGACACGCCCCCUCUGGCCCCCUCCAGCCAGCCAGGGGAGGAGGAGCCAAAGGGUGAAGGAGAUGACGAAGGGGCGGCGCCGAGGAGCCAGGAGGGGCUCGAUGGGGAGGAGGCCCCCAGCGAGGGGCUCCCCGGACCCCCGUCGGCGAUGGAUCAGGAGGGACAUGCAGUCACACAGACGGGAACUCCUCCAGAGCCUCUGAACAGCACUGAGACCAAGG